CCUACGGGCCGCAGCAGUAGGGAAUCUUCCGCAAUGGACGAAAGUCUGACGGAGCAACGCCGCGUGAGUGAUGAAGGUUUUCGGAUCGUAAAGCUCUGUUGUUAGGGAAGAACAAGUACCGUUCGAAUAGGGCGGUACCUUGACGGUACCUAACCAGAAAGCCACGGCUAACUACGUGCCAGCAGCCGCGGUAAUACGUAGGUGGCAAGCGUUGUCCGGAAUUAUUGGGCGUAAAGCGCGCGCAGGCGGUUUCUUAAGUCUGAUGUGAAAGCCCACGGCUCAACCGUGGAGGGUCAUUGGGAACUGGGAGACUUGAGUGCAGAAGAGGAGAGCGGAAUUCCACGUGUAGCGGUGAAAUGCGUAGAUAUGUGGAGGAACACCAGUGGCGAAGGCGGCUCUCUGGUCUGUAACUGACGCUGAGGCGCGAAAGCGUGGGGAGCGAACAGGAUUAGAUACCCCAGUAGUC
rnacentral:rRNA from 1 species